rnacentral:rRNA from 1 species
AACGAACGCUGGCGGCAGGCUUAACACAUGCAAGUCGAGCGCCCCGCAAGGGGAGCGGCAGACGGGUGAGUAACGCGUGGGAACGUGCCCUUUGCUACGGAAUAGCUCCGGGAAACUGGAAUUAAUACCGUAUGAGCCCUUUGGGGGAAAGAUUUAUCGGCAAAGGAUCGGCCCGCGUUGGAUUAGCUAGUUGGUGGGGUAAAGGCCUACCAAGGCGACGAUCCAUAGCUGGUCUGAGAGGAUGAUCAGCCACAUUGGGACUGUGACACGGCCCAAACUCCUACAGGAGGCAGCAGUGGGGAAUAUUGGACAAUGGGCGCAAGCCUGAUCCAGCCAUGCCGCGUGAGUGAUGAAGGCCUUAGGGUUGUAAAGCUCUUUCACCGGAGAAGAUAAUGACGGUAUCCGGAGAAGAAGCCCCGGCUAACUUCGUGCCAGCCGCCGCGGUAA